UACAGAGGUCUCAAGCGUUGUUCGGAUUCAUUGGGCGUAAAGGGUGUGUAGGUGGCGCGCUAAGUCGGGUGUGAAAUUUCGGAGCUUAACUCCGAAACUGCAUUCGAUACUGGCGUGCUUGAGGACUGGAGAGGAGACUGGAAUUCAUGGUGUAGCAGUGAAAUGCGUAGAUAUCCGGAGGAACACCGGUGGCGAAGGCGGCUUCCUGGACCGACACUGACGCUGAGGCGCGAAAGCUAGGGGAGCAAACGGG
rnacentral:rRNA from 1 species